UCCUCCGUGGCGCAAUUGGCUAGCGCGUCUGACUGUUACUUGUGUCAAACUUGAAGCAAUCAGGAGGUUGACAGUUCAAGCCUGUCCGGGGGAG